AGCGAACGCUGGCGGCGUACUUAACACAUGCAAGUCGAACGAGGAUCGCUACGUGAGCAAUCAUGCGGCGGUUCUAGUGGCGUACGGGUGAGUAACACGUGGGCAACCUGCCCUGGAGCCUGGGAUACCCUCUCGAAAGGGAGGCUAAUACCGGAUACGUUCCCCGGGUCGCGAGAUCUGGGGAGGAAAGGUGGCGCAAGCUGCCGCUCUUGGAGGGGCUCGCGG
rnacentral:rRNA from 1 species